rnacentral:rRNA from 1 species
AUCAUACCAAUCCACUUUCAGUGGUUAUAUUAGUCCUCAAAGGUGGCAUGCUUCUGCCAUGCAGGCACAGGGUAGUUGUCCCGCUCUGUGCCUGGCUAAUUUGUGGGCGAAAAACGGCUUUGUUGGCCUCUAAGUCUCCCUGAGCAGUUGUAUGCUUCUUUGUCCGUGGCUGUGAUGAAGGGAAACGGUACGUGGUUUUCGUAAUCGCGAGAGUUAAUGAGCACUAGCUUUGGUGCCGCCAACACAAAACCCCAAUUUUACAAAUUUUUCAAGAGAAUAUUUUUAGUCUUAUCGGUGGAUCACUCGGCUCGUAGAUCGAUGAAGAACGCAGCCAACUGCGAUAAUUAGUGCGAACUGCAGAUAUUUUGAGCACUAAAGUUUCGAAUGCACAUUGCGCCAUUGGAUUUUAUCCUUUGGCACGUCUGAUUCAGGGUCGUAAAUACAAAACCCCAAGCUAAUGGUGGUGAUAUGACCUGUGCGGACCGCUGUCUCUUUGGCCUAGCACGUGUUUCUUGUGCAGCCUCUUGGCCAAUUUUGACAGCGCUCCCACUCGAGAUAAUGCUGUCCAGUGUUUGGUGACAUUGCUGUAAGUCCUAGCGAUUCUUAUGGACGUAAGGCUUUGAAGCCAAACGCAGAGUAGUCGAUUUUUCGACCUGAAUCUGACGUGAUUACCCGCUGAACUUAAGCAUAUCAGUAAGCGGAGGAAAAGAAACUAACAAGGAUUC